rnacentral:rRNA from 1 species
CGCCCGUCGCUCCUACCGAUUGGACGUGCUGGUGAGAUGUUCGGACUGGCGGCAAUGGGCGGUCUCCGCCUAAUGCUGUUGGGAAGUUCAUCAAACCCUCCCGUCUAGAGGAAGGGGAAGUCGUAACAAGGUUUCC